UGGUAAGGGCGGCAGGCUUACACAUGCAAGUCGAGCGGAGCAGAGGGUGCUUGCACCUUAGCUUAGCGGCGGACGGGUGAGUAAUGCUUAGGAAUCUGCCUAUUAGUGGGGGACAACAUUCCGAAAGGGAUGCUAAUACCGCAUACGCCCUACGGGGGAAAGCAGGGGAUCUUCGGACCUUGCGCUAAUAGAUGAGCCUAAGUCGGAUUAGCUAGUUGGUGGGGUAAAGGCCUACCAAGGCGACGAUCUGUAGCGGGUCUGAGAGGAUGAUCCGCCACACUGGGACUGAGACACGGCCCAGACUCCUACGGGAGGCAGCAGUGGGGAAUAUUGGACAAUGGGGGGAACCCUGAUCCAGCCAUGCCGCGUGUGUGAAGAAGGCCUUUUGGUUGUAAAGCACUUUAAGCGAGGAGGAGGCGCUCUAGGAUAAUACCCUAGAUGCGUGGACGUUACUCGCAGAAUAAGCACCGGCUAACUCUGUGCCAGCAGCCGCGGUAAUACAGAGGGUGCGAGCGUUAAUCGGAUUUACUGGGCGUAAAGCGCGCGUAGGUGGCUAAUUAAGUCAAAUGUGAAAUCCCCGAGCUUAACUUGGGAAUUGCAUUCGAUACUGGUUAGCUAGAGUAUGGGAGAGGAUGGUAGAAUUCCAGGUGUAGCGGUGAAAUGCGUAGAGAUCUGGAGGAAUACCGAUGGCGAAGGCAGCCAUCUGGCCUAAUACUGACACUGAGGUGCGAAAGCAUGGGGAGCAAACAGGAUUAGAUACCCUGGUAGUCCAUGCCGUAAACGAUGUCUACUAGCCGUUGGGGCCUUUGAGGCUUUAGUGGCGCAGCUAACGCGAUAAGUAGACCGCCUGGGGAGUACGGUCGCAAGACUAAAACUCAAAUGAAUUGACGGGGGCCCGCACAAGCGGUGGAGCAUGUGGUUUAAUUCGAUGCAACGCGAAGAACCUUACCUGGCCUUGACAUACAGAGAACUUUCCAGAGAUGGAUUGGUGCCUUCGGGAACUCUGAUACAGGUGCUGCAUGGCUGUCGUCAGCUCGUGUCCUGAAAUGUUGGGUUAAGUCCCGCAACGAGCGCAACCCUUUUCCUUACUUGCCAGCAUUUCGGAUGGGAACUUUAAGGAUACUGCCAGUGACAAACUGGAGGAAGGCGGGGACGACGUCAAGUCAUCAUGGCCCUUACGGCCAGGGCUACCACCGGGCUACAAUGGUCCGGAACAAAGGGUCUACCACGGUGGCCCG
rnacentral:rRNA from 1 species